rnacentral:rRNA from 1 species
CCUACGGGUGGCAGCAGUGAGGCAUAUUGGUCAAUGGGCGCGAGCCUGAACCAGCCAAGUCGCGUGAAGGAUGAAUGCCCUACGGGUUUUAAACUUCUUUUAUAAAGGAGUAAAGUGAGGCAUGCGUGCCUUUUUGUCUGUACUUUAUGAAUAAGGAUCGGCUAACUCCGUGCCAGCAGCCGCGGUAAUACGGAGGAUCCGAGCGUUAUCCGGAUUUAUUGGGUUUAAAGGGAGCGUAGAUGGGUGGUUAAGUCAGUUGUGAAAGUUUGCGGCUCAACCGUAAGAUUGCAAUUGAUACUGGCAGGCUUGAGUACAGUUGAGGUAGGCGGAAUUCGUGGUGUAGCGGUGAAAUGCGUAGAUAUCAGGAAGAACUCCGAUUGCGAAGGCAGCUUACUAAACUGCCACUGACAUUGAUGCUCGAAAGUGUGGGUAUCAAACAGGAUUAGAUACCCGAGUAGUC